rnacentral:rRNA from 1 species
UACGUAGGGGGGCGAGCGUUUGUCCGGAAUUAUUGGGCGUAAAGAGCGUGUAGGCGGUUCGGUAAGUCUGUCUGAAAUCCUGGGGCUCAACCUCGGGCGUGCGAUGGAUACUGCCGGGCUAGAGGGUGGUAGAGGCGAGUGGAAUUCCCGGUGUAGCGGUGAAAAUGCGCAGAUAUCAGGAGGAACACCCGGUGGCGAAGGCGGAUCUCUGGGGCCAUUUACUGACGU